rnacentral:rRNA from 1 species
AUGGGAUGGGUCCUCGGCGAGGUGCUCCGCCUCUACCCGCCAUCCCCCAACAUGCAGCGGCAGGCCCUGCACGACAUCACCAUCGACGACGCCGGCACGACCAACUCGCGGGGCACCAACAUGGCCGUGGUGCUGCGGCGGUUCGAGCUAGCCAAGGCGCCCGAGUACCGGCGCUUGAGCUGGCCGUGGCCGUGGUACAUUCUGCCCCCGCCACGCCUUGACCGCCGGAACGCGCCCCAUCCAGGCAGAGGAGAGAGGAGAGAGAGGACAGAGGAAAGAUACGACAGAGGAGAGAUGAGAGAGGACAGAGGAAAGAGACGUCGACAGUGGGCGAAAUAA